rnacentral:rRNA from 1 species
AGGACGAACGCUGGCGGCGUGCUUAACACAUGCAAGUCGAGCGGUAAGGCCUUUCGGGGUACACGAGCGGCGAACGGGUGAGUAACACGUGGGUGAUCUGCCCUGCACUUCGGAUAAGCCUGGGAAACUGGGUCUAAUACCGGAUAUGACCUCCUAUCGCAUGGUGGGUGGUGGAAAGAUUUAUCGGUGCAGGAUGGGCCCGCGGCCUAUCAGUCUUGGUUGGUGGGGUAAUGGCCUACCGAAGGCGACGACGGGUAGCCGACCUGAGAGGGUGACCGGCCACGACUGGGACUGAGACGACGGCCCAGACCU